ensembl:lncRNA
CAAGUGGCAGUUGUGCAGACUACUUCAUCAAAGUGAAAGAACAUUUGACUUAUUCAUAAUAACUGGCAAAGUCAAUUUCAGCCAGCUGAAAUUGGCAAUAGCUGAAUAGAUAUCAUUGUUUAAUAUAUCAACACAGGCCUUUGUCAUAGUGUUUACCUCAGGAUGUGAAGUGUUGAUGCCUUAAGACUCAGCGAUCUGCGGCAUAUUUUGGUCAUAAAAUGUUGAUAUAAAAAUAAAAAUCUUUAUUUUAUCACACACAAAACUUUCAAAGCCCUCACAAAGAGCAUCUAAACAAGGUCUUCAUAUAAAAUGCUGACAGCCAGCAUCCUUGCAUAUUAUAGGAAAUACAAUAUCAAAAAAGUGUUGAAAAUGCCAUUUUCAAAAUAUUGUGUAAGUCUUGUGUUUUGUUGACACAGAUACAAUUUCCUCCUCAUCAGCCUCAUCAAAUCCCUCCUCUUGCAACAAAAUGUAUAUGAAAAGUAAAGGCAGAAAUCUGAAAUACGUUUCUAAUUCAAAGGUAUUUGCGAGAUAGUCUUGCAUGUGCAGUUAAGAGGACCUUGCCUCUGCAGGACCCAAAUAGAACAAAAAGAAAUAAAAAAAAUCAUAAUAAAAACCACACAUACACAACAUGAAGUAACUUUAAAGAGCUAUAAAAAACACGAGUUUGAUAGUUAAAAAAAAAAGACUCAACAACAUGGUGGUGAAGCUAAAAACAAUUCUCUCUUAGUUCCUGAAAAGUUCUGGCAGAUGUGAAGCCUUUGUUUGACGUCAGCAUCUCUUAAGUAGAUCUUACAGUAAGAGACCGAGUCUUUACAUAAAGCGACUCUAGUGAUUAUCUAAAACAAAACAUGAAAUCUUCUCAUGGCCCUCAAACAACGAUAAACAGUCUCUGAUUUGAAUGUUUAAAUGUCAGCUGGGCCAAAUGAUGAGCAGCGAGAAGAGGGAACAAACCCUUUCACACGUCCACGUGCAUGCAAAUAUAUACGUGCACUCUGCAGCCCACACACGCAGGCCACUGUACACAUUGAAACUGCUAAUACUCACACAUGCAUUAAUACUCACACAGAGUAAAGGAUCAACUGACCUAAAAGAUGUGUAAGUAAGCUGACCCCAGACCUCAUGGACAGUCCUGCAUGACAAAGAGACAAAUUAAAAUUAGUCAGGAAGUAAUGUUGAACCACCAGAUCCUGCUACAAGAGCUUCAAUGGAUUUACCAACUAUUUGGAACUCUACUGGAGGGCUGAACAUCAUUUUUCCAACCUAUUGCCUUAUUUGAUGUUUUUAUGAUGUUGUUCAGUCCGAAAAUCUUACCCAGUUGUUC